rnacentral:rRNA from 2 species
AGACCCGAAACCCGGUGAUCUAGCCAUGGGCAGGUUGAAGGUUGGGUAACACUAACUGGAGGACCGAACCGACUAAUGUUGAAAAAUUAGCGGAUGACCUGUGGCUGGGGGUGAAAGGCCAAUCAAACCGGGAGAUAGCUGGUUCUCCCCGAAAGCUAUUUAGGUAGCGCCUCGUGAAUUCAUCUCCGGGGGUAGAGCACUGUUUCGGCUAGGGGGCCAUCCCGGCUUACCAACCCGAUGCAAACUGCGAAUACCGGAGAAUGUUAUCACGGGAGACACACGGCGGGUGCUAACGUCCGUCGUGAAGAGGGAAACAACCCAGACCGCCAGCUAAGGUCCCAAAGUCAUGGUUAAGUGGGAAACGAUGUGGGAAGGCCCAGACAGCCAGGAUGUUGGCUUAGAAGCAGCCAUCAUUUAAAGAAAGCGUAAUAGCUCACUGGUCGAGUCGGCCUGCGCGGAAGAUGUAACGGGGCUAAACCAUGCACCGAAGCUGCGGCAGCGACGCUGAUGCGUUGUUGGGUAGGGGAGCGUUCUGUAAGCCUGCGAAGGUGGCCUGUGAGGGUUGCUGGAGGUAUCAGAAGUGCGAAUGCUGACAUAAGUAACGAUAAAGCGGGUGAAAAGCCCGCUCGCCGGAAGACCAAGGGUUCCUGUCCAACGUUAAUCGGGGCAGGGUGAGUCGACCCCUAAGGCGAGGCCGAAAGGCGUAGUCGAUGGGAAACGGGUUAAUAUUCCCGUACUUGGUGUUACUGCGAAGGGGGGACGGAGAAGGCUAUGUUGGCCGGGCGACGGUUGUCCCGGUUUAAGCGUGUAGGUGUGUGUUCCAGGUAAAUC